rnacentral:rRNA from 1 species
AGUGAAAUGCGUAGAUAUCUGGAGGGAACAUCAGUGGCGAAGGCGACUUCCUGGCUUAAAACUGACGCUGAGGUGCGAAAGCGUGGGUAGCGAACGGGAUUAGAUACCCCGGUAGUCCACGCCGUAAACGAUGUCAACUAGUUGUUGGUCUUAUUAAAAAGAUUAGUAACGAAGCUAACGCGAUAAGUUGACCGCCUGGGGAGUACGGUCGCAAGAUUAAAACUCAAAGGAAUUGAUCGGGGGCCCGCACAAGCGGUGGAGCAUGUGGUUUAAUUUCGAUGCAACGCGAAGAACCUUACCAUCCCUUGACAUGUAGUGAACUUUCCAGAGAUGGAUUGGUGCCUUCGGGAACACUAACACAGGUGCUGCAUGGCUGUCGUCAGCUCGUGUCGUGAGAUGUUGGGUUAAGUCCCGCAACGAGCGCAACCCUUAUCUUUAGUUGCUACCAUUUAGUUGAGAACUCUAAAGAGACUGCCGGUGAUAAACCGGAGGAAGGUGGGGACGACGUCAAGUCAUCAUGGCCCUUAUGGGAUGGGCUACACACGUGCUACAAUGGGGGGUACAAAGAGCUGCUAACUGGCAACAGUGUGCGAAUCUCAAAAAGCCUCUCGUAGUCCGGAUCGGAGUCUGCAACUCGACUCCGUGAAGUCGGAAUCGCUAGUAAUCGUGGAUCAGAAUGCCGCGGUGAAUACGUUCCCGGGCCUUGUACACACCGCCCGUCACACCAUGGGAGUGGAUUGCAAAAGAAGUAGGUAGCCUAACCUUCGGGAGGGCGCUUACCACUUUGUGGUUCAUGACUGGGGUGAAGUCGUAACAAGGUAACC